CCGAUGGAGGGGGAUAACUACUGGAAACGGUAGCUAAUACCGCAUAACGUCGCAAGACCAAGAGGGGGACCUUCGGGCCUCUUGCCAUCGGAUGUGCCCAGAUGGGAUUAGCUAGUAGGUGGGGUAACGGCUCACCUAGGCGACGAUCCCUAGCUGGUCUGAGAGGAUGACCAGCCACACUGGAACUGAGACACGGUCCAG
rnacentral:rRNA from 1 species